rnacentral:rRNA from 1 species
UCCAGACUCCUACGGGAGGCAGCAGUGGGGAAUAUUGCACAAUGGGGGGAACCCUGAUGCAGCGACGCCGCGUGGGUGAGGAAGUACUUCGGUAUGUAAAGCCCUAUCAGCAGGGAAGAAAAUGACGGUACCUGCCUAAGAAGCCCCGGCUAACUACGUGCCAGCAGCCGCGGUAAUACGUAGGGGGCAAGCGUUAUCCGGAUUUACUGGGUGUAAAGGGAGCGUAGACGGCAGCACAAGUCUGGAGUGAAAUGCCGGGGCUUAACCCCGGAACUGCUUUGGAAACUGUGCAGCUAGAGUGCAGGAGAGGUAAGUGGAAUUCCUGGUGUAGCGGUGAAAUGCGUAGAUAUUAGGAGGAACACCAGUGGCGAAGGCGGCCUGCUGGGCUUUUACUGACGCUGAGGCUCGAAAGCGUGGGUAGCAAAUAGGAUUAGAUACCCCUGUA